rnacentral:rRNA from 1 species
AGCAAUUAUANCNGCGAAUGGCUCAUUAUAUAAGUUAUCGUUUAUUUGAUAGUACCUUACUACAUGGAUAACCGUGGUAAUUCUAGAGCUAAUACAUGCUGAAAAUCCCGACUUCGGAAGGGAUGUAUUUAUUAAAUUAAAAACCAAUGCCCUUCGGGGCUCCCUGGGGAUUCCUGGAAAAUUUCCCAAUCCCCAGGGCCCCCCGCCGGNAAGGGUCAUUUCAAUUUCCUCCCCUAUCACUUUCCAAGGCNACNGUANGGUCCAACAAGGGUUGCAACNGGUAGGGNAANA